CUGAAAAAAGAGGAUGUGAUCAAUUAGCCCAGUGAAUUUUGGUGGGAAAAAAUGAGAGGAUGCGCAGAGAAGGAUGGUGGUUAAAGCUUCCUUUUUCCCACUCCCAUGGGCAAUCGAAAGCCAAUUGAUAAGAGGAUCCCCAAAAUGACAGCCUGCUAUAAAAACUAGGGAUGAAUCCCAAAGCACAGAACCUUAAGUAUAAAUUUCUGCUACGUCACAGCA
rnacentral:lncRNA from 1 species